GCAGAGUGGAAAUUGAGCAAGCAAAUGUCAUCAUGAUCCUCGGUUUCAGGACAGCGCCGCCUGCACUGCAAGAGU
rnacentral:SRP_RNA from 1 species